rnacentral:rRNA from 1 species
UGGGUUAGUGGCGGACGGGUGAGUAACGCGUGGAUAACCCGCCGUAUACAGGGGGAUAACACUUAGAAAUAGGUGCUAAUACCGCAUAAGCGCACGGUUCCGCAUGGAACAGUGUGAAAAACUCCGGUGGUAUACGAUGGAUCCGCGUCUGAUUAGCCAGUUGGCGGGGUAACGGCCCACCAAAGCGACGAUCAGUAGCCGGCCUGAGAGGGUGAACGGCCACAUUGGGACUGAGACACGGCCCAAACUCCUACGGAAGGCAGCAG